AAUAAAGUUAACAAAGCAUGCAAAUUUUAAUUAUAAAGCUAUCAACAUUUCUCUUAAAUUGUUAUUACAUGUAAAGGAGGAAUAAUAUGGUUCAAAUUACCAUGUUUGUUUAUGUUUUGACUAUUUUUCUUUCUCUAUUUAUUGUUGUAACCAGUAGAAGUGGUCUUCCCUGUAAAACAGUAGCAGAUUGUCCAGAUGAGUUAUAUUUUUUUAUUGAGUGCGAAAAUGGUUUUUGUGUGUAUUGGAGAGAUUAAAAAUUAAAUUUAUUAAUAAUUAUUAUACAUAUAUUAUUUAAUUUAUUUAUCAUAUUGUUUGUCCUUUUAUAAUUCACUCUAAAUGUGAUUUAUGUUUCUUUGACCUCACUUUGUAUGAUAAGAUCAAAAGUAGUAUUAUUAUAAUAUUUUAUUCUUACCUA